rnacentral:tRNA from 1 species
UCUGUGUUGGUGUAAUGUACUCAGGUGAAUAUGAUACUUGUGAUGUUACUCUGAGUGCACAUCCACACCGGGCAAGCUUGAAAAAUAUGCCUGACCGCAGUGGGAAUCGAACCCACGACCUUUGCAAUACCAGCACAAUGCUCUGCCAACUGAGCUACGCGGUCUGGUCGGUUCGAGUAUGUGAUAUUUCGGAACAGAAUCUAGUUCCUUCGAUAUCAAUGUUAUCUAAUAAUAAUCAUGAUUUUU